UGGUGAUUCUGCAUAUUUGACGCUUUCACUGGUAUGCAGAUGGUUUAGGGAUGUGGUCACAGAUGAAUUUUUCCGGAAAGCAGCACACUUUGCCUGGCUAGACAGUGUGGUCAACUGGAAAAAAAUUUCUCUGGACUACUGUGAAGAGUUUCGACGGAUCUACAGCAUCAGGGAAUGCUCGGAAUGCUUGGAGCUUUUCAAGUCCUAUCCACCAGGGUACAGGGGAAGAGGAAAACGAGGGGAACUGCUGGGCUUUUACUCCGAAGAUGUUUGUACAGGAUUUUGCUCGCAGGACUGUUUCUUUGCUGCAGGAAAUGAAUUUCUGUGAAACUCAACUUGUACAUGGGAAUGUUUGGAGCCCAUAAUAAAGAAAAAGUGUCAGUC